rnacentral:rRNA from 1 species
AUUGAACGCUGGCGGCAGGCCUAACACAUGCAAGUCGAGCGGCAGCACGGGUACUUGUACCUGGUGGCGAGCGGCGGACGGGUGAGUAAUGCCUAGGAAUCUGCCUGGUAGUGGGGGAUAACGUCCGGAAACGGGCGCUAAUACCGCAUACGUCCUACGGGAGAAAGUGGGGGAUCUUCGGACCUCACGCUAUUAGAUGAGCCUAGGUCGGAUUAGCUAGUUGGUGAGGUAAUGGCUCACCAAGGCGACGAUCCGUAACUGGUCUGAGAGGAGGAUCAGUCACACUGGAACUGAGACACGGGCCAGACUCCUACGGGAGGCAGCAGUGGGGAAUAUUGGACAAUGGGCGAAAGCCUGAUCCAGCCAUGCCGCGUGUGUGAAGAAGGUCUUCGGAUUGUAAUGCACUUUAAGUUGGGAGGAAGGGCAGUUACCUAAUACGUGAUUGUUUUGACGUUACCGACAGAAUAAGCACCGGCUAACUCUGUGCCAGCCGCCGCAGUAA